CGCAGCCGCGGUAAUUCCAGCUCCAAUAGCGUAUAUUAAAGUUGCUGCAGUUAAAAAGCUCGUAGUUGAAUUUCGGGACCAUCAUGUCGGUCGUGCCUCGGUACGUACUGGCAUCGUUGGUUUCUCCCUUCUGACGAACCAUGAUGUCAUUAAUUUGGUGUCAUGGGGAAUCAGGACUGUUACUUUGAAAAAUUAGAGUGUUUAAAGCAGGCUCACGCUUGAAUACAUUAGCAUGGAAUAAUGAAAUAGGACGUUUGAUUCUAUUUUGUUGGUUUCUAGGAUCGACGUAAUGAUUAAUAGGGAUAGUUGGGGGCAUUAGUAUUCAAUUGUCAGAGGUGAAAUUCUUGGAUUUAUUGAAGACUAACUACUGCGAAAGCAUUUGCCAAGGAUGUUUUCAUUAAUCAAGAACGAAAGUUAGGGGAUCGAAGACGAUCAGAUACCGUCGUAGUC
rnacentral:rRNA from 1 species